rnacentral:lncRNA from 1 species
GUAGGAUUGUUUUGUGGUCUUAAAUCUGAAACUUGUUUUCUCCUUUGGCUUCAGGUGCAGAUAUUGUUUAAUAAUGACUUUGGAGAAGGUUUCACUACCCAGUCUCCUGAUCAGGAAGAAAGAUGAAGGUUUUUGGAGGACUUAAUCACGAGCAGAGCUGCUGUUGAACCUCCACUUCCAAGAAGUAAGCAGGCUGGGCAGACACGGGAAGCACUGCCUGCAGCAGCACCAGCUGAGCUCCGUGUGCCAGAGGAAGGAAUGCGGCGUAUGGAGGAGCAGGAGGAGGAGACCCUGCGUGACUCUGCGUGUUCUGCAGGGCCGUUCCUCACAGACUGCCACUGACAGAUGUUUGGUGCACUGCAGAGCCUGUUGGUGCGGACGAGGUUGCUGCCCCUCAAAGUGCACUGUGGAUGGACAGCGCGAUGACAGCCCAAGGAUGGCAGCAGAAGAUGCAGCACAGCCCUCUCCAGCAGCAAGGCAGGAGACGGGCAGUGGUACCGCAGCUCCUCUGACAGCUUUGCAGCUACAUCAGGAAGCAGAAGAUGUGGAUUUGAAAGAACUCAGUUACUGGGACGUUGCCCUGUUCUUCCCCUACCUGUCCCCUUGCCUCAGCCCAGAUUCCUCUUGCAUUCUCGUAGGUGUCCCUUCCAUCCCCCAGGCUGCUCCUUGCUUCCCCCAAGGUAACUCUUUACCUUCCCAUAACAGCCCACCCAUAAUUCCCUCAGAGCCCCAAUAGCCCCCUCAGUAUUUACCCUUAGGCACCCCACAACCUCCCAGAGAGCCCAUAGCCCCUUAAUGACCUCCUCAGGCCUGGUACUCUGUUGUAGUAGGUGUUAACGGGAUAUCGGGUUGUAACGCAAUAGGACCUCCCCUGCUCUGUGAUUGACGUAUGAUGCAUGCUUGGGGGGGCGUAGACGAAGAGGGAUGUGUAUUUAGGGGGUUCUAGUGUCUUAAUAAACGCCAUUCGCUUCUCCA